rnacentral:rRNA from 1 species
UACAGAGGGGGCGAGCGUUGUUCGGAAUUACUGGGCGUAAAGGGCGCGUAGGCGGCCAACUAAGUCAGACGUGAAAUCCCUCGGCUCAACCGGGGAACUGCGUCUGAUACUGGAUGGCUUGAGUGUGGGAGAGGGAUGCGGAAUUCCAGGUGUAGCGGUGAAAUGCGCAGAUAUCAGGAGGAACACCGGUGGCGAAGGCGGGUCUCUGGGCCGAUACUGACGCUGAGGAGCGAAAGCGUGGGGAGCGAACAGG